GACGAACGCUAGCGGCAGGCUUAACACAUGCAAGUCGAGGGGUAUAGGUUUUCGGACCUAGAGACCGGCGCACGGGUGCGUAACGCGUAUGCAAUCUACCUUGUACAGGGGGAUAGCCCAGAGAAAUUUGGAUUAAUACCCCAUAGUAUUAUAGAAUGGCAUCAUUUUAUAAUUAAAGUUCCAACGGUAUAAGAUGAGCAUGCGUCCCAUUAGCUAGUUGGUAUGGUAACGGCAUACCAAGGCUACGAUGGGUAGGGGUCCUGAGAGGGAGAUCCCCCACACUGGUACUGAGACACGGACCAGACUCCUACAGGAGGCAGCAGUGAGGAAUAUUGGUCAAUGGACGCAAGUCUGAACCAGCCAUGCCGCGUGCAGGAUGACGGUCCUAUGGAUUGUAAACUGCUUUUGUACAGGAAGAAACACUCCUACGUGUAGGGACUUGACGGUACUGUAAGAAUAAGGAUCGGCUAACUCCGUGCCAGCAGCCGCAGUAA
rnacentral:rRNA from 1 species